UAGAAGUAACAUCUGUCCCCCCACUGUUUGCCAGCAUUAGUUUGGCUAAUCUUCUUGGCAAGGCUGGUAUCACUU
rnacentral:sRNA from 1 species